rnacentral:tRNA from 1 species
UGCACUCAUAGCUCAAUUGGAUAGAGUACUUGACUACGAAUCAAGCGGUUAGAGGUUCGACUCCUCUUGGGUGCGU